rnacentral:rRNA from 1 species
UACAGAGGUCUCAAGCGUUGUUCGGAUUCAUUGGGCGUAAAGGGUGCGUAGGUGGUGACGCAAGUCUGGUGUGAAAUCUCGGAGCUCAACUCCGAAAUUGCACCGGAUACUGCGUGACUCGAGGACUGUAGAGGAGAUCGGAAUUCACGGUGUAGCAGUGAAAUGCGUAGAUAUCGUAAGGAAGACCAGUGGCGAAGGCGGGUCUCUGGACAGUUCCUGACGCUGAGGCACGAAGGCCAGGGGAGCAAACGGG